GUGAAUCAUCGAGUCUUUGAACGCACCUUGCACUCUUUGGUAUUCCGAAGAGUAUGUCUGUUUGAGUGUCGUGAAUCUCUCAACCCCCCUAUUUUGUAACGAAGUAGGCUUUGCGGGCUUGGAUUAUGGCUGUCUGUCGGAUCUCUUGAUUGAGCCGGCUCAGCUGAAAUAUACGAGCGAUCCAAUGUUUCCAUUAUACAUGUGAUAACGGUUUGACUCGGCGUAAUGAUACUAUUCGCUGAGGACGUUUUCAUUAUAAAGGUUCCGUUGACGCUUCCAAUGCGACUUUGAUUAGUCAAUUCAUAACUCUAGACCUCAAAUCAGAUAGGACUACCCGCUGAACUUAA
rnacentral:rRNA from 1 species